CUAAGUAUAGCUUCCUUCUGAUAUUAAAAUACUAAAAUUUAUCCUGUAAAACUAAAGCACAGUUCCAUUUAAAGGAUAAAUUUCACAUAAUUCAACAAGUUGAAAAUAAUACUGAUAGUGUUAUAUUCUUUGUAAAGCCACAGAUACAGUAUAUAUAUAUAUAUAUCCAAAAAUAAACAGAAUAUAUUCCAAAAGAUAUAAUAGUUUUAUAAAACUAGUUUCCCAAUAUUAAGCUAAAUAUUUAUAUAAUAGGACCAUAUGAAUUGGAAACUAAAAGGAAUACUAACAAUUAUCAUCCCAGCCAUUCCUUUCACACAUAGCAAAACUGAGACAUAAAGCAGCUAAUUUUUUUACCCAAAAUCAUGAUUGAGAAAUCCAUAGUCUCAAACUAAGUUCUCUAAUUCCCGAGGACAUGUUAUUCUCAUCAUACCACAGUUCAAUGAAAAGAAAGCACAUUAUUUGAAAAUAUAUCAGCAUGUAGAGGGAUACUAAGUUUAUAUAUCUGUUGAAUGUUUGUAUACUUGAAUAUAUUUGUCGAUUUCUAGCACUGAUAAUUUUUAAGGUUUGAACUCUUAGAAUGCUGUAAUCAUGUAUGAGUACUUAACUGCUCAUAUAUUUAACCUUACUCUCAACUUAUCUGAGCAUUUCUUUUUAGAAAGGAUGAACAAUGAGAUUAAAACACAACAUGGUAAUAAUUUAAUACAAUUAGUUCUUAAGGGAAAGCUUAGAAAAAACUUCAUGUAGAUGAGCCAAUAAAUUUCUCAUGAGGAAAUAACACUGUGUUACACUUUGCAACAAAGGAAUCUUUACAAACCUCUCUAAUUAGAGACAGCAUCAGGGUAGGUAGCAUCCACCACCUCUACCAAGUUACCUUGCUUGGGAAUUCCAG
rnacentral:lncRNA from 1 species